AUUGAACGCUGGCGGCAUGCCUUACACAUGCAAGUCGAACGGCAGCACGGGUGCUUGCACCUGGUGGCGAGUGGCGAACGGGUGAGUAAUACAUCGGAACGUACCUUAUCGUGGGGGAUAACAAAUUGAAAAAUUUGCUAAUACCGCAUAAUACUCUGAGGAGGAAAGCGGGGGAUUCGUAAGAACCUCGUGCGAUUAGAGCGGCCGAUGGCUGAUUAGCUAGUUGGUGAGGUAAAGGCCCACCAAGGCAACGAUCAGUAGCCGGUCUGAGAGGAUGAACGGCCACACUGGGACUGAGACACGGCCCAGACUCCUACGGGAGGCAGCAGUGGGGAAUCUUCCGCAAUGGACGAAAGUCUGACGGAGCAACGCCGCGUGAGUGAAGAAGGCCUUCGGGUUGUAAAGCUCUGUUAUUGGGGACGAAUGUGCGGUUUGUAAAUAAUGAAUCGUAAUGACGGUACCUGAGGAGGAAGCCACGGCUAACUACGUGCCAGCCGCCGCCGUAA
rnacentral:rRNA from 1 species